rfam:Schistosoma rodhaini strain Burundi genome assembly, scaffold: SROB_scaffold0007132
GCACUGCUGAGGAGUCCCACAACAGGACGAAACGGCCGUUCAGUGU